GGGGCGUGUAGCACAGCGGUAGCGCGUCCGCUUUGCAUCAAGCUUGCGGGAGGUCUGGAGUUCGAUCCUCCACUCGUCCAA